GUCGAACGGCAGCAUAGGUGCUUGCACCUGAUGGCGAGUGGCGAACGGGUGAGUAAUACAUCGGAACGUGCCCAGUCGUGGGGGAUAACGUAGCGAAAGUUACGCUAAUACCGCAUACGAUCUACGGAUGAAAGCGGGGGACCGUAAGGCCUCGCGCGAUUGGAGCGGCCGAUGUUAGAUUAGGUAGUUGGUGGGGUAAAGGCUCACCAAGCCGACGAUCUAUAGCUGGUCUGAGAGGAUGAUCAGCCACACUGGGACUGAGACACGGCCCAGGCUCCUACGGGAGGCAGCAGUGGGGAAUUUUGGACAAUGGGCGCAAGCCUGAUCCAGCCAUUCCGCGUGCAGGACGAAGGCCUUCGGGUUGUAAACUGCUUUUGUACAGAACGAAAAGCUCUGGGUUAAUACCUCGGGGUCAUGACGGUACUGUAAGAAUAAGCACCGGCUAACUACGUGCCAGCAGCCGCGGUAAUACGUAGGGUGCGAGCGUUAAUCGGAAUUACUGGGCGUAAAGCGUGCGCAGGCGGUUAUGUAAGACAGAGGUGAAAUCCCCGGGCUCAACCUGGGAACUGCCUUUGUGACUGCAUAGCUAGAGUACGGUAGAGGGGGAUGGAAUUCCGCGUGUAGCAGUGAAAUGCGUAGAUAUGCGGAGGAACACCGAUGGCGAAGGCAAUCCCCUGGACCUGUACUGACGCUCAUGCACGAAAGCGUGGGGAGCAAACAGGAUUAGAUACCCUGGUAUCCACGCCCUAAACGAUGUCAAC
rnacentral:rRNA from 1 species